GAGGAAGGCACGAGGGGCGGAAGUGGCGAUAAUUUUUGAGACCAUCCAAGACCUUCUACAAAUGUAUGCUGACGAACUACUCUUCUCAUUUUUAGAUUCAUUUAUCUUUUUCUUUUUCUUUUUCGGGCGGAGGAGCGGAUUCAGAUCACUCUCCCAAGAUAUGGGCAUACAUGUAACGAGAAGAAACGCCAGCAUAACCUCAAGAGGGUUCACCGCAAGAUGCAAACCACUGAUGGUGCAUACCUGAAGGCUUUGUACACAGGCCUGUACCAACAGACAAAGGAGCAGGGGGUGAAGAGGAUCACCCAGAGGAUGGCCAGACCCAGGCCCACGCCGUUGGACGUGUCCACGCAGAACAGCGCCAGGCUGGAGAUGAAGUUAAAUAGCAGGGUGGACGCAGAGACUGAGGGGGAGAGGUCAGAGGUCAGAGGUCAGAGGGAAGCAGCAGCUUCAGGAGUGGUUAAUGUACUAGCCCUUUUUCCCCUUAUCCACUUCUGCUACCCUUCAGACCUGGGUCAAAUACGUAAUAGUUUCGGAAUUCAAGUGCUUUUCUGUGCUCGACUGAUCUUGCUUGGUGCACAUGAGCCAACCAAGAGGACCAGAAGGCAGGGUUUGCACUUUUUGAGAGUAUUUCAUAUGUUCCAAUACACCAGACAAGCGUUGAAAAGAAUUUGAAUCCGAAAAUUCAUGUAUUUGACCAAGGUCUGCUGCAGCGACAUGAAUAGAAAUGAAAAUCACAUCAGUCUUCCUCAAUAAUAAUAAUAAUAAUAACAGACUGUACAAUUAAGAUACUGUUAUUCUUUAACACUGCACGCUAAAAUGGAAAUAGUUAUAGCAUUGAGCUACAAGAAUGCCAAUAGAGUUUAAAUGGACCAUCUUGCUGGGCAAUUUUACUAGCUUGUGCUUGAAAAUGUAUGUCAGCAAUCGCCAAGGGAUCCAUAUUAACAAGGUAACAUCUGCAGUUCUGGCGUUCACCUCCAUUGAAGGGGGCGGGACCGCCAGGCCGGCACCACAAACAGAGCCACAGCAUUGGUGGAAAUGUGCAUCCGUCACCGGAGCUCUGAAUACAAUUGGACGCUGGGCUCCGGGAUUGCGUCAGCUGCCAAGCUGAAUGCGGGCUUUGUUGAUUUACGUGCCCACGGGGGCUUAUGGCAGUGCGUGCACGGACAGAUGGACGGACGGACACUCACAGAUCCAGAAGUAGUACAUGAUUUUCACGGUGUGCUGGAAGCUUUGGCUGAUCUCCAGGUCAAUGUCCUGGUAGAAGCAGGGUCCCACGGGA